rnacentral:lncRNA from 1 species
AACGUAAGGCGGAUUAGUUAACAUCGACCCAAACUGCAAUUAAUACUUGUGUUUUUGUGGUAAUAUCCCUCAAAUCUUAGCUUAUUAUUUAUUGUUAGUCAAUCUACAUGUUUUCACAAAUAUACUUUCUUAACAAACAAAGAGUUUUUAAAAAGAUGGUCACGAAAUUAAAAAAUAACUUAUUCACCACCCUAGAUUCUUAGAUCUUACUGUAUCAACCAAAAUAGUUAUACCUGGUAGCUAGGAUCUACAAGGACGUCCCAUAUUGUCGCAUUGAAUGCAUGAUCUGAUGUGGCACGAGCCAUACCAAUGAGCUUCUUUUCAUUAUUGGUUGGUUGGGAUGCAUGAUCAGAGUUUAUGUAGACAUGCAGAGUUAAACUUUAUCAUUUCAUAAAAAUGGCAAAGCAAAGAACAAGUAAAAGAAUGAGAGUAGUUUAUAUAACAAUAUCUCCCUCUUUAAAGAACACUAUAGAAGUUGUGGUUUGUACAAAUCUAAAAUUUAUAACUUUCUACAAUAUACGUCGGAACAAUGUAGGAAACUAAUUCUGCAUAAAAGACACGUCUGCUGAAACUUAUAAAAAACAGGUUCUCAGAUGGAGACAAAUCUCAAGAUAAAAAUUCAUCAUGCUUAUCAGAUUUAGGUUAUUUAACUAAUGCUUGCUUUUUCGACAUGUGAUUACGUCUCAAAUGACUGGUGAUAUGAGCAAAAAGCAAGAUCUAACUAUCUUUCUGCUUCCUAGUAUUUGUUUCAGUUCAAGUUAGUUAGGCUUACUACUAUUUCUAAAUUCAUUCAGAUUAUGCAAUUAUCUUAAUAAAUUACCGACUAACAACCAACUCCUCGUGACUUACCCGGACCUAAUGGAUUCC